AAAAAUAAAUAAAUAAAUACAUAAAGUCUAGCUUUAGAGCUGGAAUGUUCUAGAAUAGAAACUACCAGUGGGCAUCUUAUGUUAUAAGAAUGUGUUUUCUAAAGCUACAUGUGUAUACUGGGUCACUAUGACAAAUAUGUUUAUUUUUCUGAGACACAAUCAAAUCAGCAUGAAAGUUACUAGCAUGGUGUAUAAGAGCUAGAAUUUUAUAGUUUAGAGCCCAACUAAGUGGAGCUGAAUCUCAGCUUUACCCCUUACUGGCUCUACGAAUUUGGACAAGUUAUUUAUCGUCUCCUGUGCCUUAAUUUCUUUAUCUGUAAAGACGGUGGUGGUAAUCAUACCUAUAGCCCUUAGAACAAUAUCUGGAAAUUUAUAAAUGCUAAGUAAAUAUUAACUAGUAUUAUGUUAUUUCUGACUCUCAAAAGUCAGAUGUUCAAGUCCUGGCCAACUUUCCUGAAAAUUGGUGGCUUCUUUGUGUCUCUGUUGUUUUAUACCUAUAUUUCUAUAUCACUUGCAUACAUUUGUGCAUAUGUGUGUGUAUUAGCUAUAGGAUCAUAAUUAACAUCAAUUAAAUUUAAUAUUCAAACCCAUGUUCUCCAGUAUAUAAUUUAAUCUCAGGGCUCAAAAUACUUUAAUUUUGUUCUUCUUUCUGACCCUUAAUAUAACAUAUGUGUAUACUUCCAUGUACUUCCC
rnacentral:lncRNA from 1 species